GUUGCGACGCCGCAAGGCCGUUUUCCUCGUGCUUUCUUUUGUACUUAGCUGCCUUGUUUACAAAUAUGCCUUUCCUUUUCAAGUACAUCUUCAGGAUCUCCUGACCUUGGAUUUAUGUCCGGCCUGUUAUGGGGAAAAUUUAUGCAAUGAAAUAAAAACAG